rnacentral:rRNA from 1 species
GACGUAGGGCGCGAGCGUUGUCCGGAUUUAUUGGGCGUAAAGAGCUCGUAGGCGGCUUGUCGCGUCGUCCGUGAAAACCCACAGCUCAACUGUGGGCUUGCGGUCGAUACGGGCAGGCUAGAGUUCGGUAGGGGAGACUGGAAUUCCUGGUGUAGCGGUGAAAUGCGCAGAUAUCAGGAGGAACACCAAUGGCGAAGGCAGCUCGCUGGAACGGUACUGACGCUGUGGCGCGAAAGCGUGGGGAGCGAACAGG